rnacentral:lncRNA from 1 species
GCCCCCGACGUCCCCCCAUCGAUCGCUUCCUCCCGUGUUCAGACCAGCGGAAGAAUCCGUCUGGGACACAUCAGGCCGUGACCCGUCCAUCCAGCCGCCUGACCCUCCGUCCAUACAUCCGCCCAGCCAUCCAUCGUCUCUGUUCCAGUCCUCCGGUCCGGAUCAACAAACUCUUCUGCACCGCUCGUUCCACAGACUGAGAUAACGGAGAAAGAGAGGCGGACGUCGGAAGUAGGGUUACUGUGUUGGCGAGCUGGUGAUGUCGUGAACAGGAAGAGAGGCGUGAGCCGCAGGAAGUGGUCGACGUGCCAGAGAGGGACUCCCUCUGAUGGGAGGGGGCGAGCGACACUGACACUCCUGCAGAGAGAGAGAGAGAGAGAGAGAGAGACCACCUGUUCCAAUGUGAGGUUCACAUCCACACACACACACACACACACACACACACACACACACACACACACACACACACACACACACACACACACAGUCAGGGGAAGCUAUUUUGGAGUUGUCGUGGUUCCACAGAGAACACAUGCCAUGAUGAUCACGACUCUGUGUGUGUGUGUGUGUGUGUGUGUGUGUGUGUGUGUGUGUAUCUUUUCCCUUUAACUCUCUGAAACCUUCUUGUUUUUAAUGUAGGCAGCUGAUCACGUGACUUGUACUUCCUGUUGUUGUCGUGCUUCAGCAUCUCUAAUAAAAACACAGUGAGAUCUUAUCUAACCUGAGUUCAGAUGAAAUCAUCGCUCUCACAUUUUUUUUGCUUUUCUUCCAGAGAUGACCAUGUUUGAGUCACAGAAAUAAGAAAAUAAUUCCACUGCUGCUCGUCUGGUGAGAAGCCACAUCUUUGUUUGGUAUCAAGAGAUGGAGAGGCACUUAUCUUAAAUAUCUGAAUAUCCAGCGCCAAGUUAAUUUGGACCGUCCUCUCCAGGAACACUGUCGUAUACGUGUUUAUUGUUCGGUGGCGACCUCCAGUGGCCGUAGUAAUUAUGAUGGGAGCAAAGGAGGAAGUCAGGGGAUGUUGUGUUACGAACAGUGUUGGGCACGUUACUUUAAAAAAGUAACUAGUUAUAGUUUAGAGUUAGUAACGGAAUCACUCCACUAUAAAAGUAACUAGUUACCAGGAAAAGUAACUAUUCAUUUUAGCUACUUGGCAUCCAUGUAUUUAGAAAAUGUCUUCUUUAUGGCGGACCGGCUCCUGUUCUCCCUGAUAUUUUACCAGUGAAGCUCUGAAGGAGUCUGAGUCAGCUGAUGAUAACAGGAGCAAGUUCUCAACAACAUACCUGUCUAUCAUUGCAUUCACUUCAGUCUGUGUCACAAGUUUUAGUGAAGCUGUUAGCGGAGCUCACGUUAGCCACACCUGGCCUGCUGUCAUCAUCAACAGCGUCAGCAACAGAGUUUUUGGCCAGUGUUAGUUUUGUAGAAGCGUGUGCUGCUGAGAGAUGAUUCAUUAGAUCAGAGUUGUUUACAACAGACGUGGACAAAAGAGAUUAAAGUAGUGUCUGUACUUCCACUUUGAAAACGUUAACUUUCCCUCCGGACUCUUCAUUGCUGCAGCUCACCUCUGCUAGUUUGUGUGUGAGGCUGCUGUGUGCGUGUGUAAACUGAACUCUGCCUCUGAUUGGUCUACAAACUCUCACUCUACCUUAGAGAGCCAAUCGCCCUCACUUAUGCGGUUGUCCCGCCCCUCCCUCCUCCCUCUGCAGCUCCGGUGGCUGAGAGCUGAGUCGGAUGACAGCAGCUUCAAUGAGCAGCUUCAGUUUGUAACGCGCCACAUUUAAUAGUCGGUAACGGCGUUGUAAUGAUGGAAAUAGUAAUUAGUUAGAUUACCUGUUACUGAAAGAAAGUAACGCCGUUAUUCCCAACUCUGACAGAGUCCACGUAUGGAAACUACUUUCACCCGAGAGAGCGUUAUGUUUCGUUUACUUUAAGUUUUCACACAGCAGCACAGGCCGGACAUUAAAAUCCAUUUAUUUAUUGAAACAAACCGAAUUGAUGAGACGAGCUGAUUCUGAAUCUCAUGUUAUUGAUCAACUAUCAGUGGAAUUUUCACUUUUUUUUCUUUCUCUUGGACGUCUGUGAACAAAAGACUCUCGUUCUUCUUCAGCUGAAUUGUGUCUGUGCACAACAGAAGUGAAGUCGUUUAAUAGAAGCACGAACAUUAU